AUUGAACGCUGGCGGCAGGCCUAACACAUGCAAGUCGAGCGAGCGGCGGACGGGUGAGUAAAGUAUGGGGAAUGCCCGAUAGAGGGGGAUAACUACUGGAAACGGUAGCGAAUACAGCAUACUAUAGGAUAAACCCUAUGGGAUUAGCUAGUAGGUGAGGUAAUGGCGCACCUCGGCGACGAUCCCUAGCUGGUCUGAGAGGAUGAUCAGCCACCCUGGGAUUGAGACACGGCCCAGACUCCUCCGGAGCCAGCAGUGGGGAAUAUUGCACAAUGGUCGCAAGCCUUAUGCAGCCAUGCCGCGUGUAUGAAGCAGGCCCUAGGUUUGUAAAGUACUUUCAUUCGGGAGGCGUUACCGACAGAAGAAGCACCGGCUAACUCCGUGCCAGCAGCCGCGGUAAUAC
rnacentral:rRNA from 1 species